AACGAACGCUGGCGGCGUGCUUAACACAUGCAAGUCGAACGCGAACGAGUUCUUCGGAACUUUAGUAGAGUGGCGCACGGGUGAGUAACGCGUAAGUAAUCUACCCUCGCAUCUGGGAUAACCCACCGAAAGGUGUGCUAAUACCGGAUACGUCUAAGUUAAUAUCUUUUUUUAGAGAAAGGUGGCCUCUGAUUCAAGCUACUGUGCGGGGAGGAGCUUGCGUACCAUUAGCUAGUUGGUAGGGUAACGGCCUACCAAGGCGACGAUGGUUAGCGGGUCUGAGAGGAUGAUCCGCCACACUGGAACUGAAACACGGACCAG
rnacentral:rRNA from 1 species